rnacentral:lncRNA from 1 species
AAUGUAAUUGUUAAUGUUUACGUAUAAACAUAUAGUCGAGGUUCAUUAUAUUUAUAUUAUUGUUUAUUAUUAGAUAGUAAUAUCAUAGGUCAUUUAUAAUACGAACACGUAAAAUUUAUCAUGGGCUCAUUUUCAUGAACCGAUUUGUUUAGCUUUCAAGCUCAUAUACGUAGAUAGAUUGACUGGGGGAAAAAAGAUCAGUUGGAUUUUGUAAUCAUAGCCACAUGUUUUCAUGAAAAUCUAUUAAAAAAUUCGAUAACAAGUAUAAGUUUGAAGUUGGACUCUCUUAUUUUGUAAAACAAGUUUAAUGAAAUCAAGUGACUGCUUAAUAAUUAAUUAUUAAGUUAAUUUAAUUUUUUUUAAUAAAUGAUCUACGUUCAUAGAUUUAAAGAAUUAUUAAACGGAAGUCAGCUUGUGAUGAGUCCAACGAAAUGAAAUAGGAUGUUGUAGUUCAAAGACAAGUCAUUUUCUUUUCGUUUAUAUUUGUUUUUUAAUUUUAGGCUGUAAUUACAAAGGAAAAAGGAAAGGAAAAAAGGUAAUGAAUCUAACAGAUUAAAUUUAAUUUGUUAGAUACCUUCUAGUGUGUUGAAUAAUUAAUUAUCUAUUAGCUCAAACUCAUCUCUGUUUUAAAUUCCAAAGAUGUAUAACUACUUAAACUAAGCUCAAGCUUAAUAUCAAACAUAGAAUUAAUAACACAUAUUAUAAAAGCAAAAAAACUAAGUGAGUGAACUUAAAAAUUAGCCAUGCAUAAUAUAUAAUUUAUCCCACAUGUGAAAAUAUUAGACUUAUCUCACAUCGCUUAUCUCAUCCAACAAACUUAAUUUUAAAUUAGACUCCUCAACCCUUUUCUCUAACAUGAUAUCCAAAAUAUAUACUUUGAGUGAUUCUCUCAGUAGUGAUCAUGUCUCUACUUAAGUCUCUAUCUCUCUUCUCAUCAACUCCAAGUUCAUCCUCUUAAUCUACUGCCUACCUUACCUUGUGCUAUGUGGCCAUUGCUUCUUAGCACAAGUAAUAAUUAAAAAAGUAUCUUAUUUUCAUAGACCAGAUAUGUGUGUUGAUGAUAUUAUCUAAGGUGUUUCAAAAAUUCGAAAUAUGGUUAAAUAAAACCCUAGAAUGUGGUUUGGUUCUAUAGUUUAGAUGGUUCAAUUCUCAUUUUAGAAAUAGAAAAUUGAGGAUGUUUGGCUUUGGUAUUUACUCUCUGCUUUAUAUAUUGAAUCUCCAUUAUUCUAUUUUGAGAUGUUUAAGAAUCCAUUUAUCUUUUUUUUCAUAUAUUAUUUAAGUAACAUUCAACCAAAUAAAAAAUUAAAUGUAAUAAUUACUAUGUUAAAAUUAAAAAUUCAGUAAAAAGUAAAUGUUAUGAUUGUGUUUCCUUAAAAAUUAAAUUGAAUUCUCCGAAAAAGACCUUCAAUAUAGGACUAAGUGAAUAUAUAUUAAAACUUGAAUGCUUCGUUACGUUUAUGCUAUGGAAUGUUUAUAUUAUCACCCUCUCGAUAACCAUAGUAAUAUUCUUAUCUCACAUUAUUCUAACGAUGAACACAAAAUAAUAGAGACAAGUUUAGAGACGAUGUAUAGAAUUAAAAGGGUGAGAAAAUUUGCAAUAUUUAGUUAAUUUUUUUAAAUUCAAUUUUACAAAGUUAUUUUUCAAAAUUUAUUUGAUUGACUAUUGAAAACACGCUCUCUAUAAUUUUUUUCAAGAAAAAACUCAAUUUUUAGCAUAAAUUAAAAUAUACCAUAUUUAAACUGUCAAAAACCAUUCCCACUGGAGGAUAAAUAAUAUAUGUUAUCUAACACGUUUUCUCUGUAAUGUUGUCAACAAUAAUAUACGAAAAGACAAAGUAUAUUUAAGAGCCCCCACUAUGCUUGUGUUUCUCUCUCGUCGCAAUAAUUACUUAUUAAAGUACGAGAAAAGACAAAGUACACGUGAGAUAGGAAAACGACUACUCUAACAAUUUAGGUCUCAUUUGGCUGGAGGAUUUGGAGGGGUAUAAUUUUUUUCCCGGAUAACUUUUUUCUCGGAAUGUUUGGCUAGCGGAUAUGCCCCCGGAUAAGUUAUGCCCCCGAAGGUAGAUAAUUUUUGGGUUGCCUAGACCCCUAACUAAAAAUUAUCCGGGGGAUAAGGGAUACCGCCCCCCUCUCUCCCCCGCCCCCCCCUGUCUCCUUUCUCGUCUCCUCUAUCUACAUCUCUCAGCCCUGCCCACUCUUUUUCCUCUAUCCCUCUUUUCUCUUUUCUUUUCUCUCAUUCCUUUUCUUCCUUCCUCCUAACCUACCUUAUCCACUCAUUCUAAAAAAGUAUCCAAAACAAAAGUUAAAAGUUAUCCCAUCCAAAGUUAUCACCUCUAAAAAGUUUCCUCCCCUAAAAAUUAUGCUGCCUCCCUUAUCCUCAGCCAAACGGGCCCUUGGGGUAAGGUAAAUGUUACGUAGUACGUACCCCCACCAAUUGAAAUAACACCGACACCCAUAGUUAUGAAAACGGACGAACCGGCAGGUUCAACCGGUUCAAUCGAAACUGGGCACUAAAUCGGUUCGGACACAACAUUUUAUCGCAUCGGAAAAAUGCAAGCCAACCGGAUUGAACCGGUUUGAAUCGGCCGAUUUUUUUUUUUUAACAGAAAAAAUAAAGUUUUAAUUUUUACAGUUUGACCCAAAAAUUUUAAUUAAAGUUUUACUUUUUACAAUGACCCCAAAAUUUGAAUUAAAUUAUUUUUUUAAUCGUUUUCUAAAUUAAUUUUUACUAUGAAUGGGUAAUAAAAAAAUUUUUUUUUUUUUUAUAAUAAAAAUAUAAUUUUAUUAUAUUAAUUAUAAAUCCGGUUGAACCGUGGUUGUUUGAACCCAAGGGAACCGUGUGAACCAGUAUUUUGACCGGUUCAAUGUCCGGUUCGGUUCUGAUAACUAUGCCGCGACACCCCUUAAUAUCUGAAAAGGGUAAUGCUAUGAGUACAUUCAAUUUACACCCUAAAUGCAUAUUUGAUGAGGUGGAGUAUUUAAAUUGGUUGGGUGUGGGGUCCACACAGUCCUUUCACCCCACACAUAGCCAAUCUAAAUACUUCAUCUCAUCAGGGGUGCAAGUUGGAUGUACCAUAGCAUUUCUCAUAUCUGAAAACGGUAAAUUUUGACUGACCUCGCAUGAUAUUUUUGAAUCAAAAUCCAACACGUGUACAUUAGUCCAAUUCCUAUUUAAUGGGCUAUUGGGGCCAUAGCCCCUGCAUGUUUCCUCUCGCUGCAUCCACAUGGAGACUGAUCUAAUGUCCCUUUCUUAUCUGUCCUUUCUUUCUUUUUUCAUUAAUUCAAAAGAGGUGAUCAGAUGUGGCGCACCCAUUGUAAUACCAUGGGAGCGUCCCUGAGGGCUCACUACAAUCACAUAAUUUUUUUCAAAUUAUGUCUUAUUUAUUUUUGAAAUCACUCAGCCACAAAAUAUGUGGCUGUGGUGAGGCCACGGAGGGCGCUCCCAUGAUAUUAUCACGGACACGCACCUAUCUGAUCACCACUCUUAAUUUAAUGCGAUGCUCGGAAAAGGUACAAUGGAGUCUUACACGAAUCUCGUAAGUGUUUGCAAUAGUUUAUCUCCUUUAAUUCAUAAACCAUAUAUAAUACUUUAUAUACCGAAGGCAUUAUGAAAUCUAAAAUAUUCCUAAAAUUAUAAUUUAGGUUCGAGUCAAAAAAUUCACAACUACGACCUACAAGCUGAUGAGAUACCAACAUACAUACACCACAAUCAUAUGGUCCUCACUGAUCUCUCUUCUCGACGCCUACACAUGCAUUAUAUGCGCAUAAAAUAUUUGAAGUGUUAAACUAAUCCCAUAUCAAAUAGUUUUGGGAAUACUCCACCUCAUGCUAAUGAUCUUUACUUUACAAUAACAAUUUGUACUACUACAAACAAUUCGCCUUGCUAGAUGCAUUAAAUUGAACUUUCAAGUUCCAAAUUUCUAUUUUGGGAAUUAAAAAGCUUUUUUAAUUGUGCUAUCUGAAAUGACCUUUGGUUUUAACACAUGUAAUAAUUAAAAAAUAUCUUAGCUUUAUCGCCAAAUAUGUGUGUUGAUGAUAUUAUCUAGGGGUGUCUGAAAAUUUAAAAAAAAAACGAUAAAUCAGAUCAAACCAAAUUGGAUCGAACCGUAUGGCUGGUGUGGUCCGGUUCUACGAUUUAGAUUGUUUCAAUACUAAUUUUAAAAAAUAUUAAAUUGGUCUAUAUAGUUCAGUCUUAGUUCUUUAUUUCAGAAUUGUGGUUCAAAAUAAACUGGGCCUGUUUUGUUAAGAACAGAGUUCUGUAACUGGAAUUGAUAUUGCUGAUAGCUGGAAGAAGAAAGAAGAAAAUAGAUUUCCCUAUUCGAGCUAGGGAUAAAGCUCUUAAAAGAACCAAGUAAAGACGGAAUUUUUCAUUCCCUUCUGAAUCAAUGUUACAUUCUUUAUAUUGCUGGACGUUUGACAAGAAUUCAAGGAAUGAUAUCUAACAGUUUUAAACACUAACUGAAUUAACCCAUUCUUGAUAUUGCCCAUGCUUCAGUUAUCUGUUAGCAUAGUUAUUUUGCCAUGCUUUACAUCAUGUUCCUGUCUUUUAAGUCUUAAUCUUUCAUUCAUUCUGGCCUUUUGAUACUCCUUCUUGUUCUAUCAUCCGCUACAAAGCUGUUCUCUCCUACUACCACUGCAUUCGUAACAUGUUUACGUACAUACAUAGCGUGUAUGUGUAAGUUAAACCCAUCCUAACCUUCCUAAUUUAUUUUAUAUUGAGGUAUCAUUACUUAUUGUUUGAUGUUGUAUGAAUUUUUUGGGUUUUCGAUUUUUGCGGUUGUUAUGCUUAGUUUUUUCUAAAGUGGAAUGUUGUCAUGUUAUUUUAAAAUGUAGAUAGUUUAGAAUUUAAAUGUCAGGUAUAAAAUUUAGGAUGUUUGCCUGUGGCAUUUAUUCCAUUCGUCUCAUAGAACUUUUGUUAUUUUAGUUUGGAAUGUCCGAAAAUGUAUAUUCAAUUCGACAGUUAAUAACGAAAAUAUACAACUUUUCUCUUUUAGCCU